rnacentral:rRNA from 1 species
GACGGAGGGUGCUAGCGUUGUUCGGAAUCACUGGGCGUAAAGGGCGCGUAGGCGGCUUUGGCGGUCGGCUUGUGAAAGCCCGGGGCUCAACCCCGGAGGUGCGGCCGAAACACCAAGGCUGGAGGCCGGAAGAGGAGGGUGGAAUACCCAGUGUAGAGGUGAAAUUCGUAGAUAUUGGGUGGAACACCGGUGGCGAAAGCGGCUCUCUGGUCCGGUCCUGACGCUGAGGCGCGAAAGCGUGGGGAGCAAACAGG